rnacentral:lncRNA from 1 species
GGUGCAUGAGUCACAAACGAUUGGAGCCCACCACGGUGGAAGGCCUACGAAGAGAUGUUCAAAACAUUUCUCGCUUAUCAACUUAAUAUUCGUUUGUCGAGGGAGUAGUUUUAGGCUACAUCAAAAUCAUUUUAAUCAUAUUAAAAGAACUUGGGCCUAUCACAACUAUUGGUCCAAGUUAAUAUGAAUUUAGUUGUUUAUAAUACUCCCACUAUUUCGAAGAAAUAAGUGAGACUAUAUGGAACUACUAACGAAUGCAUUGCAUCCUUAUAUGGACUAUAUAGUCAUAUUAGGUCUUAGGAUGAUUAUGAACCGAUUAAUUUGAUCCAACACGAGCCUUGUGUUGGACCUUGGGUUUAAGGUAGAUAGUUGUUGAUUUUAGUUACGCGUUUAAUCCAAUUAAACCAUUAUUUCCUAUUGGGCGUUGGACCCAACUAUUCCAUUUUGCAUACAUAUAAACAAAAGGAAUACAUGAAAUAAUAAGAAGGGCUUAUGCCCUUUUACAACACAAAUGAUGGACUUAUGUCCAUUUACAACAAAUUAAAUUAAUCAAAUUACAUUCAAAAUCUACACUACCAAACCCAAACAUUCAUAAUGUAAAGCGGCCAAUCACAUAGCUCAAUUAUCGAGGCCUUUGGUUCAUAAUCACCCUUUUCUCAAUUAAUCACAUUAACUAAGAAAGCAACUUAAACAAUUGGUUUCUGGAUCCAUAGAAUUGAUUU